UACGUAGGGGGCAAGCGUUGUCCGGAUUUAUUGGGCGUAAAGCGCGUGUAGGCGGCCAGAUAGGUCUGCUGUGAAAACUCGAGGCUCAACCUCGAGCUGUCGGCGGAAACCAUCUGGCUAGAGUCCGGAAGAGGAGAGUGGAAUUCCUGGUGUAGCGGUGAAAUGCGCAGAUAUCAGGAAGAACACCUAUGGCGAAGGCAGCUCUCUGGGACGGUACUGACGCUGAUGCACGAAAGCGUGGGGAGCAAACAGG
rnacentral:rRNA from 1 species